GGCCGGGUGCCAGAGUGGUCUAAUGGGACGGAUUGCAAAUCCGUUUUCCGUCGGUUCGAAUCCGACCCCGGCCU
rnacentral:tRNA from 1 species